AUACCGCAAAAAGGACAAAUUUUGUGUUUAAGGGACAUGGAGAUAAGUCAGUGAGAAAACUUCCGCAUUUUCUUCUUGAUAGACUGGGAGAGCAUUCUUUGUUUGAUAUGUGUGAGAUUCUUUUGGAGAGUAGAACUAUAGUUUAAGCCUUAAAGAAAAGAAAAGAGCAGUAGUUUUCCAAAUAUUGAAUCCUUUCUGCUGGAGCUUCGAUGGAUCUUGGAGAAGAAAGGGACAAAGACUCAA
rnacentral:misc_RNA from 1 species